rnacentral:lncRNA from 1 species
CUAAACAUAUUGCAUAAAUUUACUAUUUGAACCCUGAUGCUGAAUUCCUUUGUUUAACCUUAUUAGAAACUCAAGAAAUGAACUGAUAGAAGUAGUCAAGGAUUGUGUGUAGUGCUGCUAAAUUUGAGAGUUUGUAUGGCUAAAAUAUGUAGUUUAUACCUUGAGAAUAAGAAACAGAAAAAUUGUACUUGAUAUAAAUAAAUUUAGUGAGGCUCAAUCGUUUUUCUUUAUCUUAUGAUCAAUAAUAGUCUUUUUUCUUAAAUAUCUUAGUAAGUAUUUUGUUUGGUUGUAACUAAAGUAUUUGUUU